AAGAUCAUACUUCACAGGAUCAUUUCUGUAAUGUGCAUCGUUCCCUUCAGGUGCAAAUGUGGAGUCGUCAUAACUCAUCAGCCACGAUGAAAAGACUAGUCCAGUAGUCCACAUAUUUCAGCGUGAAAUUGAUAAUUACCCGUCGUUUUGUGAACAUACGAGAAUCUUGCAACGACGAUCGUUUAUGGUUUGCCGGAUAGUAAGUGGAUAUUCUGAGUGGC